CGCCAGAGUCCCGACAAUGUGGUGUUCGUCAUGGACGCGGCCAUCGGCCAGGCCUGCGAGCCGCAGGCGCGCGCCUUCAAGGAAAAGGUGGACGUCGGAUCGGUCAUCGUCACCAAGCUGGACGGCCACGCCAAGGGCGGUGGCGCCCUGUCAGCCGUGGCGGCCACGUCGUCGCCCAUCAUCUUCAUCGGCACGGGUGAGCACAUCGACGACUUUGAACCGUUCCGCGUCAAGCCGUUCGUCUCCAAGCUGCUGGGCAUGGGCGACAUCGAGGGCCUGAUCGAGACCGUGCAGGACCUCGGCCUCGAGGACAACGAGGAGCUCAUCAAGAAGCUGAAGCACGGCGAGUUCACGCUCCGUGACAUGUACGAGCAGUUCCAGAACAUCAUGAAGAUGGGGCCCUUCUCGCAGAUCAUGGGCAUGAUCCCGGGCUUCGGCCAGGACUUCCUGUCGAAGGGCGGCGAGCAGGAGUCGACGGCCCGCCUGAAGCGACUCAUGACGCUCAUGGACAGCAUGAGUGACGGCGAGCUGGACAGCCAGCUGGGCGCCAAGCUGUUCACCAAGCAGCCGAGUCGGAUCACACGCGUCGCCAACGGCGCUGGCGUGACCGAGCGCGAGGUGCGUGACCUGCUCAAUCAACACACCAAAUUUGCCCAGGUGGUCAAGAAGAUGGGCGGCAUCAAGGGUCUGUUCAAAGGUGGCGACAUGUCGCGCAACGUCAACCAGAACCAGAUGGCGAAGCUGAACCAGCAGAUGGCGCGCAUGAUGGACCCGCGCGUGCUGCAGAUGCGGCAUGGGCGGCAUGAACGGCAUCCAGAACAUGAUGCGCCAGCUGCAGCAGGGCCAGGGCACGCUGAGCCAGUUCGUCGGCAAACAGUGAUAGCCGGGCGGCGGCGGAGGCUGCCGGCGCGUGGCACGGGUGACACGGCCGUCCCGGGCGGCAUGGGGAGGGAGGGGGAGGGGCGGCGCCGUCUGACGGUCCAUUCCAGCCGGGCCGCCGCUGGCGGGGGUGGCCACGGUCAUGAGCCCGGGCCGGAGCUCGCUGUGGUCCGGUGACGCCGCCCAGGCGUCCAUCGCCUGGCGGCAGCGGCCUGCGUGACCUGUUGGGCCGCGGCCGUGGAGCCGGAUGGUGGCGUGCGUUUGCCGUCCGGCUGAUCUGUGGAGGUUUCAACUGUCGGAUGGAGCGAUGCGACUGUGGGCUGGUUGUGGUCCG